rnacentral:rRNA from 1 species
AUACGUAGGUGGCAAGCGUUGUCCGGAUUUACUGGGUGUAAAGGGCGUGUAGCCGGGUCGGCAAGUCAGAUGUGAAAUCCACGGGCUCAACUCGUGAACUGCAUUUGAAACUGUUGAUCUUGAGUAUCGGAGAGGUAAUCGGAAUUCCUUGUGUAGCGGUGAAAUGCGUAGAUAUAAGGAAGAACACCAGUGGCGAAGGCGGAUUACUGGACGACAACUGACGGUGAGGCGCGAAAGCGUGGGGAGC